rnacentral:rRNA from 1 species
UGGGGAAUUUUGGACAAUGGGGGCAACCCUGAUCCAGCCAUGCCGCGUGUGUGAAGAAGGCCUUCGGGUUGUAAAGCACUUUCGGCCGGAACGAAAUCGCGCGGGCUAUUACCCCGCGUGGAUGACGGUACCGGAAGAAGAAGCACCGGCUAACUACGUGCCAGCAGCCGCGGUAAUACGUAGGGUGCGAGCGUUAAUCGGAAUUACUGGGCGUAAAGGGUGCGCAGGCGGUUGCGCAAGUCAGGCGUGAAAUCCCCGGGCUUAACCUGGGAAUGGCGCUUGAAACUACGUGACUAGAGUAUGGCAGAGGGAGGUGGAAUUCCACGUGUAGCGGUGAAAUGCGUAGAGAUGUGGAGGAACACCGAUGGCGAAGGCAGCCUCCUGGGCCAAUACUGACGCUCAUGCACGAAAGCGUGGGGAGCAAACAGGAUUAGAUACCCCCGUAGUCCCUGAGCGGGCUGGCAAGGCGCAU